rfam:Acidobacteria bacterium 13_2_20CM_58_27 13_2_20cm_scaffold_46, whole genome shotgun sequence.
UUGACUCUUUCCGCAGAGCCGAAGCCUAUACACGUCAAGUCGUCAACCCCUGCUGAAGCCCUCGGACAAUGUACCCACAAUCGCAAGGUUGGCACCGGAGCCGCGAGGCGACGAUGCAUCUGCCAGCAUAAGGUGGAGAGGGGC